UCCACUUGUAGUGUCUCAGCCCAUGGACCAAUGUCAUAUUGACUGAAUAAAACAAUUUGGCUUGGAGGGAGUUUGAUACAUGCUGGAUGAGAAAAAGUGUCUAAGCAGCUUUGAGGAACCAGGCAGAGUAGGAUCAACACUGUUUUCUUGUGGCACCUCUUGAGCCAUUCAGUGGUUCUCAAAUAUCCAACAAGGUGCCGGUGCUGGGUUCCCAAAGAGCACAUCUUAGUCAUGUGAGGCAUCUGUCAACUAUAGGGGAGCCCAGGUGAGAGGGAGAUUCCAUGGGACUUGUGUCACCAUGGGAAUGGAACAUGAGAGGAUUCGUAGGGGAAAUGGAGUUGUGUCUCCUGAUGUUUGGGAAACCAUGGGUUUCAAGAAGAGCACCAUUUGGCAUCAUAUCUGUCCAAAGUGAACAAAGGCAUCAUCCUGGACCAUGAAGGAGGUAACACAAGAAGAUGGAAAAUGUCAAGAAACUGAGUCUCAAAUAUUUGAUGGCAGUCUACCUGGGUCUAAAGCUUGGGCUUCUAACCAAGCCACAACAUAGUGUUUGAAUCUAAGGAAAUAUCCUGCCAUCGGAUGGAGCCACUCCAUCUCUUCCUCUGUGAGUUCUCUUCAUGCCUGGUGAAAGGUGUGGCACUUUUGUUUUCUUUUUCAUUUUGCUCCUUAAAUCGGUGACAACACUGCAUAGCAAUUAAGGCCCUGAUGGUUGGAGUUUGGCUGAACUUGGGUUUGAGUUCUAGCAAUGAUUUCAUGGAUAUGAAACCAGAAACACAGGCAACAAAAGUAAAAAAUAGACCCAUGGUUCCACAUUAAAUUAAAAAAUUU